CCUCCUGGAUUGUGUAGGUUUUUUUGGGGGGAAUAACAUGAUUCAGAUAGUUCUGCAUUGUCCCUGUUUACCCAGUUACCCACUUGGUCAGGUGCUUGGGCAUGGAAACAAUACGAGGAAAGGGUGUAAAAGUCAACAAAAAGUGCCUUUUAUUACUGGUUGGUUAGUCAUUCCACAGCAACAGCUCCUGUUGGCUUUCUGAGUGGCAGGAAAGUCUGACAUUAUUACAGGUGUGCUUAUAUAAAUGCAAAGAUUUUGCUUUGUGAUUCAGGAAGAAAGAAGACAGAAGGACGACGUGCUGCUGUGAAGCACUUGCUUUUGCUACUGUAUAUUGAGACCUUCUCUUUGGAUAUGUGGAACUCUAACCCAGGAAUGUCAUCUCAACAGCCUUGCCCUCCUGGACCUUACCCUGGACCCUAUCCUGGGCCAGGCAUGCAGCCAUGUCCAAAUCCAGGCUACCCUGGCCAUCAUCCUCCACCCACUGGAUUCCCUGGGCCAUGUGGGCCACCUCCUCAUGGGCAUCAUCACCAUGGGCAUCACCACCAUGGACAUCACCACCAUGUGCUUCCCCACUUUGGACAUCACCACCAUGGACAUCAUCAUCAUGGCCAUUGCAAGUGAUAUCAAAGAAAGAGCAUGGUUCCAGCUCCAGCAGCACCUCAGAUUUAGACUGAAGACAUCCUUUUCUGCUUUCACAAGCAGCCCAGCUUUCUAGCACUUUAGAGUGCCAUUAGGACUAUCCCGAAGUCCUUCUGUAUCUCUGUAACAUGCUCCUUGUUGUCCACCUCUUACUCAUAUGCACAAUUAAACAUGCCAUGUGAUUUAUUAUGUUCAUUUUUUAGUAAUUCCAGCAAGACAUGAUUAAAUAAAAAUAUCAUGAUUGUCCAA